GCAGAGUGUGAAACACUGAGAAACAUUCGUCACCGAAAUCUCAUCAAGAUCAUCACAGCAUGCUCCAGCACUGAUUUUAAUGGCAAUGACUUCAAGGCACUGGUCUUUGAGUUCAUGACAAAUGGGAAUUUAGACAACUGGUUACACCUAAGUCCUUCUGGCCAAGGAAAUGGUAGAAACUUGACCCUACUCCAGAGACUAAAUAUAUCCAUCGAUGUUGCACAGGGGUUGGAUUACUUGCAUCACCACAGCCACUCAAGUAUCAUUCAUUGCGACAUAAAGCCAAGUAAUAUUCUUCUUGAUGAGGAAUUUGUUGCUCGUGUUGGUGAUUUUGGUUUGGCGAGAUUCUCUUUUCCUGCAAGAGAUGAUGUUAAAGAACUAAUGAGUUCCAAUAGUUCCAAUAGUGUCUGUGGAACAGUUGGAUAUGUCCCGCCAGGUAAUUACAUAGUUUGUCAAUGUUUAGUAUUGCCCUAAAUUAUAACUUGCACGGUUACUAUAUUAUACUUAAAGAUCUUAUAAUCAACAGAUAUGCUUGAGUUAAGAGAGCUAUAUUAUAUGGUAGAACGUAAUAUCUUUUCAAUUUCUUAUUUUUUUUGAAUUAUGCAGAAUAUGGAGCAGGUGGGAAGUUAUCCAUAAAGGGAGAUGUGUAUAGCUAUGGAAUCCUUUUGCUGGAAAUAUUCACCGGAAAACGCCCUACAUGUAGUAGCAUAAUAAUGGACAACUGUGAUAAUCUUCACAACUACGUGAAGAAGGCACAUCCGCAAAGGGUUAUAGACAUUGUUGAUCCAAAAAUCGUACUAGAUCAAGAAGACCGUGGUUUAACUGCAAGUCAAUCAUACAACAGGGUAACCGCAGAGGAAGUAUGCUUGACUUCAAUAUUUGAAGUGGGGAUAUUAUGUUCAAAAGAAAUACCCCGAGAACGCAUUGACAUGAGUACUGCUAUUAAACGGUUAAAUGUGGCAAGAGAAAAUUAUCUGCAGCAUAUCACUUGCGUAAAAUACCCGUAUAAAUAAAUUGUUCCAGGCUUUAUAUCCCUGUAUAUUUAUAUGUGUAUAUUUCAGUCACAUUGUUCCAGCCCCGAAUGUUCUCUAAAAAUGAUAUAAUGAAUUUUUUUGAGCCCCGGGUAAGUUUCAAAAAUCUUUGUAUUAACUGAUAUUUUUCCUUCAAUCAAAUGUUGUUAAAUAUUUGAGCCCCCAAUAUUUUUUGAGCCCCGGGUGAUUUGAUCUCCUGGUUCCGCCACUGAGUGAAACAACCAUAGAAAUCUUACCUUAUUAAGUAGUGUUGUGCAAUAGAACCUAAGUAUUAGUUAGGGUUCUGCAGCAGAACUUUACAUGCAAAAAAAUGUCAAUAUCUAUGUAUUAUAUUUUAAAAUUAUUUUUGAACACCCACAACGAUGAAAAAAUAUGAAAAAAACAUAUAUUUAGAUUUAGAUCCUAAAAAUCUAUUUAAAAUUUAGGGUUCCGCAGUGGUUCUAUGGUUCUAUUUUAAGGAUUGGUUCUCUUUUGAGUGCGACCCUACAGGAGUUAACGUACCUCUUUACUCCUUACUCCUUAUAAUUGUGGUAAAUUCAACCCAGUUGGUGCAUGUUAGAAUCUAACCAAGAAAAGAGUUUGCGUUUGUGAAUCCUGAACUGUGCUUAUUAAUAGUGGUCGAGGCAGAGUCUGCUUUAAAGUAUUCAAAUAUGCUCUCUACUGAAAAAAAAAACUGAAGUUUUAGUCCCUCUCUGCAAUGCUUAGUCCCCCUUCCCUUUUCAGGAUAUUGGGAAACAUAGUCCCGCGGCUUGGCUGAAGGAAUAAAAUGGGGUAAUCAAUAUUUAGGGGGACAAUUUUUUUUAUAGAAUUGUUUUAGAAAAAAAUAGAAUAAUUUAGAAAAAAGUAAAAAAAUAAAAAUUUUAUUUAAAAUUUAGACCUCUAAGCAUCAAUGAUCCUACGGUUUGGGACUUUUGGAAGUAUAUUUUGAUAUUUUAUAAUAGAGAAAGGUCUAACAAAAGAAGAAAUUUAAGAUGAGAUUAUCCUCACCAUGAUAUUGGUAGGCACUUUGCAAACUCUUAUCAUCCUCGAUUGUCUAACAAUACAAAUUCUAAUUUCGAAAACUUGAUUGAUCAUUUUGCUAGAAAAAUGCGAGAUAAUAAUUUUUGAGUAACGAAUGAUAUAUAUUUUCUGUUAGAUACUAACAUGAACAAAAAAAUUCUAAGACCCGCAUAGGCAUCUUCCGACUCAAGGCUGUUCUGUAGUUCGGAAUUGCUUUAUGCAGUUCGGCAAAAUUAUCUCAUAAUUCUUCUAAGAACAUGUUAUAAACUUCAUCUAAUAAGCACAUAAAAGGCAAAGAUAGCAGCAAAAGUUUCUAUUCAAUGCCCGUUAAAUUAAUACUGCAACCACAAACAGUUGAUGGAAUUACAAGGCUGAUUUUGCGCAUAAUUUUUAUCAGCUAAAACAGAACGACCAGAGCAGAAAAGUAACGCACCGUUAAUUGCAUUGAGCUGUUGUUUUUCAAGCAUUUCUACCAUUUCAAUUCUCACUUUCAAAAUGCAGCCACUAAACAUAAAAGAUAAAACAAUGGUGCCGCAGAUUAUAUACCACAGUAUUAAUACAUAAUUUUAACGGUAUAUAUUCAAACAAAAUAAAUGUUUUAAAUAAUAAUUUAUCUAUGAUCAAAUUAGAUAAAGAAUGUCGUCGGUAGUAAUCAGUCGUAAAAAUAAUAAUAUAUUCUUGACAGUUGUAUAACAACAUCACUUGUUGUUGGAAUUUCGUUUUAUAGAACAAAUAAAAUAAAAUAAAAUUUGUAAAUUCUUUUCAUACAUUUAAAUAUUUUAAAUUUAAAUGAGGUGAGAAAAUAAAAGUCAAAGAUAAUGUGUGAUUGACUUCAAGAAUCUAAUGGUUACAUUAUUGGGAUAACCAUAAAUUGAAUUAAAAAUCGAGGAAUUACUUUUCUUGAAAACACAUUAUAUAGACACAUAAUUUGUAUGAGAUGUACAAGAUAUACAAAAUUUUAAAAGUGUUAGCCUUUACACGCUGCUUCCGAGUUUUAAAUAGGGAGGAAAGCAAGUGAAGAGGAAGUAAAUUUAUCCAACUUUGCUUCCGAGUUCUUUAAAGGGACGAAAGCAAGUGAAAGUGAGUACAAAUACAGUUGAACCUCGAUUAAGUAAUAAUCGAUUAAGUAAUAUCCUCACUAAAGUAAUAUUUCUCUCUAUUCCCAACAUAAUAUAAAUAGUGUAUUUUUACUCUCAGUAAAGUAAUAAACUCGAUAAAGUAAUUUUUUUCGUUGGUCCCAACGUUAUUAUUUUAAAGAGGCUUAACUGUAUAGCAUAUUUUCACUCCAAAAGUGGGAUGAAAGUGAAAGCACACUUUAUUUCACUUACAUUCACUUGCUUUCUCUCCUAAAAAAACUCAGGAGCAGGACCUUAGAUUUUAAUGAUGAUUACUUUGAACAUCAAAUAAGUUUAUUUGUAUAAUUCUGAUUCAACUGUGAUAUUCUAUUCUUCAGGAGUAAGGAGUAGAUAAAAUUUGUUUCAACAAACUUUAUUUCUUUGUUAUAUCUUAUUCUCUCUAAAUGUUUAUCAAGUUCAAUUAUGUUUAAACUGUUAAGUCUCAAUGUUCAUAUUUUAACAGUUUGAUUUUCUAACAGCUUGUUUAUAACAGAUUCAUUCUCUAACGUUAUAUUCAAUCCUAUUUGUUAUAUUUCUCAAAAAUAGCUGAGUUGGUUUGUUGUUCUAACAGUCAUAUUUUUGAAUAUUCAACAACUAUAUAUUUUUACAGGUUAUAAAUCCAUAGCUUGUUCUUCAACUCAAGACACAAGAGCUUUCAAUAUCUUCGUUCUACUUGCAAACUCAGAGCUUUCACACAAUCACGUUGCUUCAGAAUUAUAUGUUCUACUUGCAAACUCAGAGCUUUCACACAAUCACGUUGCUUCAGAAUUAGAAGAUAUAUUAUUUGAGUUGUAUUCUUCUUAUCUUAAUCACUUGUGCCGGGUUGUGGCAAUUAGAUAGGAUUACAAAUUAGAAUCAAAGUAGCCAGUGGGCUAGUUAGCAGGUGCUAGGUGACAGUGGUGUUAAGGGAAGGGUUCUUCCGGUGGCUUUGUAAUUUGUAGUCGGCAAAAUUGUAAGCUUUAUAUUAUUGUUAUAAUAUAAUCUAUGUACUAGUUGGUAGGGCUGUAAAUGAGUUGAUGCGCUCGAUAACCGCUCGGUGUUCGGUUCGAAAAAAGCUUGAUUCGAGCUCGGUUCGAUUUAUAAACGAGUCGAUCUUGAGCACAAUCUUAAGAUUCGUUUUAUAAACGAGCUGAACUUGAGCACAACAGAGUUCGACUCGAUAGUUCGCAAUAAGUUCGAAUUAUGAGUUCGUGAACAUGGUUCGUGAAUUUGGCUCGUGAGCGUAGUUCGUGUACUAGCUCAUGAACAUGGUUUAUUAUAAAUUUAUGAUUCCUUAAAGCAUAAAUUAAAAUAUUGUUAGAAUUUUAAUUUAUUUUUUUAAUUAAAUUAAAUAACAAACAAGCUCGUAAAUAAAUUUAUUUGGGUGUUUGGGAACUAAACUUCUCAGCUUAUUUGAAAUAAAAGUUGGGCUUCUAUUAUUUCAUUGCCGUUUGGCAAAAUGGUGGAAACGCUUAUAUUGUGCUGUGAGAAGCCCACAAAAGAAGUUAGCAAACGUAGCUUUUUUCCUUGUGAACCAUUAGAUAACAACAUUAUAGGAAUGCAAAUAAGCACUAGAUUGAUAAUACUGAGAUACAUUAAGGGAUACAUUAAUGCCCCAUGCCAAUCAUUUAGAAGUAAAUUGACCAUUCAGUUAUGUCUGUAAUUUUCUGUAGCUUCCUUUCUUUUGUUCUGAUAUGAUUUUAUUUCUUUUUAUUUUAAAUGAGUUUUUAUAUUCUAAAUUUGUAAAAUAUUUCAUCUAUUAAUAAUAUAAGAUAUCGUAUUAUGAUUUAGUUUUUAAAUGGAACAAUAUUAUAUUACAAAAUUCCCAAACUAUACUAGCUUAUAAGUCAAGUUAUUCAAACACUAAAUAAAUUAUAAGUUACGGUAUCCAAACACUUUUAAUAACUUAUAAGUCCGAACCAACUUUUCACUUAUAAUCUACCUUCUUUACUUUAAGAUAUAAGUUACUUCUUUUAAACUCAGCCAAACGGCCCCUAUGAACAUAAGUUAGUUCGUGAACAGAAUAAUGAGCGGUUGGUGAGAAAAAAUUCGUGUGAUAUGUUCAUGAGCGUAAGUUAAUGAGCGGUUCUUAAGUAAAAGCUCGUGAGACAUGUUCGUGAGCGGUUCGCGAGCCGUUUGUGAACAGAAUUAUUCCUUAAUGAGUCGAUCCUCAAACAAUAUAUUUGGCUCGAUCCAAACUCGAGUUAGAGUUCGAUAAUUUUUUAAUAAACGACACACGAGCACUCUAAAGUUUGGCUCGGCUCGACUCGACUCAUUUACACCCCUACUAGUUGGUACGGGGACUUGGAUGUAGGCUAUAGAACUGAUAGGGGCCGAACCAAGUGAAAAUUCUUGGUGUUCUUGCUUAUUAUUCUGUCAUACGUUUAUUCUGCAUUACUGUUAUUCAUUGAGUCAGCAUAACAUACGAUUGCGAUCGACUCAUUCAUUUGACAGACCGCAUUUUGUGCCUACUUUAAAUUACAGUAAGUUCUUUUCAAAAUACAUGUAUCUAAUUAUCAAUUUUGUUCCAAAGUAAGUAGGAAGGAUACUAAUAUAUAUUAUUGUUGUCAUCCUUCAUGUUUUGCUGUAUUUGGUAAUAAUUUCGCUAAUAAUCUUUUACCAAACCGUCCAAAAAUUGAAGCGAGAUAUAUUUAAAAAAAAUGAUAAUAUUAUGCCUAAAAAGAAUUACUUUAAAUUAUUUUUGCAGAAUUUUGGUGUAAUAAAAAUUCCAUCUCCAUCAGCCGAUUAUUCUACCAACACCAAUGACUAAUGAGUAAACUGAGGUACCUCACGGGUCAGCUGUCGGCACCUCAGUAAAGUCAUCGUUAGAAAAUUCUUUUGUAACUACAGCGUAUAUGGUACUUCCAUGGGUCCAGACUGUGAAGAAAUUAUGUCAUUCUUUGAAUAAAAUGCUAAGUACUUUAUUUAGUUGCUGGAAUAUACAACCCCAGUCAAUAAAUUUUUGAUACCUUGGACCCCAUCUCCAAAACUUUGCUUGACUUGUGAAUCAGUUGAGGGCCAAACUCUCUGAAGUUGUUUUGAUGGAUACCGAAGGCAUUCUGAAGGUUAAUAAUAAAGAUCGCAAUUUAAUUUAUGUUCACCAUAUAUUUUUGUUUCUCUUUUAAGAUACUUUUACCGCUAUGGUUAUUUCCUUUCUUCGAUUCAUCAGUCCCUUGAUAUUUGUACUAGGAACCUCAACAAUAUUUGCAGAUUCAUUCUCAAGCAAUGUUACUGAUCAACAAUCUUUGCUUUCUUUUAAAACUGCAGCUGACACAUUGGGUGUGCUGAAAUCAUGGAAUAACUCCGUCCACUUCUGCCGGUGGGAGGGCAUUACAUGCAGCCGUAGACGACAGAGGGUAACCGCAUUAGUCCUUCCCAAUCAUCAACUGGGGGGUACAUUGUCUCCUCAUAUCGGAAACCUCUCCUUUCUCAGAGUACUUUACAUCUAUCAAAACGACUUUCAUGGCUCAAUCCCAAGUGAAAUUGGUAGACUAUUUCGACUACAAAGCCUUUCUUUUGGAAACAAUUCUUUUCAAGGUGAAUUUCCCGUGAAUAUGAGUCAUUGUGUAAAUCUGGAAUUCAUUAAUGGGUUUCACAACGCUCUGCAAGGAAAUGUACCAACCGAGCUAGCAUCUUUGCCUAAGCUUAAUCACCUUGAUCUUGGAAACAAUCAUUUUACCGGGUCAAUUCCACCUUCAAUAGGAAAUUUCUCAUCUCUCCGUACUCUUGAUCUCCGCAGUAACAAUCUAGAGGGGGGCAUACCAUUAGAAAUUGCUCAUCUUGCAAACUUAGAGGUGCUUGAAUUGGCAACAAACAAUUUAUCGGGUAUGGUUCCCUCACCAAUUUAUAACAUUUCAUCCCUUGAGGAGGUUGGUCUAAACCAAAAUGGCGGGCUACGAGGAACGCUUCCAGCAGAUUUGGGCUCGACCCUUCCCAACCUGCAACGAUUCUACGUUGGAGGUAAUAGAUUUUGGGGGCCUUUUCCACUGUCAAUAGUUAAUGCGUCAAAUCUUGUUGAUCUUGCCAUUUCACAUAACCAUAUAACUGGCCCUUUACCAAUGAAUUUUGGAAGCCUGUCUCAUCUUGAAAUAUUAAAUCUAGGUGACAAUCCACUUGGAGAUAAUCAAUCACUCAAUGGUUUGAGUUUCUUCAACUCUUUGGUCAAUUGUACCCAUCUCAAACUAUUGUCCUUCCUCCGAUCUGGUUUAAGUGGAGAAUUCCCAAAUGCAAUUGUAAAUCUCUCUACCAGUAUAGAGAUACUAGUUUUAAGCGAAAACCACAUACACGGAAUGAUACCGUAUGGGAUUGGAAACCUUGUGAACUUGAGAAUGUUUAGUAUGUAUACCAACUUCUUGACAGGGACCAUUCCAAAAUCAAUUGGAGAGUUGUCGAAGUUAGGCAAACUAUUUUUGGGUGAAAAUAAUAUCUCUGGAGGUAUUCCUAUUUCCAUUUCCAACAUCACUCAAUUGAGUGUUCUUUAUUUAGAUACCAAUAAGUUUCAAGGAAGCAUACCUACUGAAUUGUUUAAUAUCUCAACUUUAGAGCAACUGUACCUUGCUAACAAUGAACUCGAAGGUGUAAUACCUGAGCAAAUUGCAGGAAUUUCUUCCCGGUGUGUUUUCCUUUAUUUGAACAACAAUCUGUUCACAGGACCACUACCUUCCAGCAUAGGAACCAUGAAACAGUUAGUUAAUCUAGAUGUGUCGAACAACAGAUUGACCACGCAUAUACCAGCAACUUUGGGUGAUUGUGUGAUGCUGGAGGAGCUUUCUAUGGAAGGAAACCUUUUCGAAGGUAGGAUUCCAUAUUCUUUCAAAGCUUUAAAAAGCCUUGUUCUUCUAGAUCUUUCAAACAAUAGUAUCUCCGGACGUAUUCCAGACUUUUUUGAUGGGUUUCAUUUAUUCCAAUUCCUCAAUUUAUCACACAACAAGCUUGAAGGUGAAGUGCCGAAAGAAGGUGUGUUUUCGAACGUCAGUGCCUUUUCGGUCAUUGGAAAUUUACAGCUUUGUGGAGGUAUUCGAGCAUUACAAUUGCCUUCUUGUCCUGAAACAGUAUCAAAGAGCAAGAAAAGUAGAUAUCCCCUGAGGACAUUAUUCCUUAUAGUUCUUCUCCCUGUUGUUGUCUUGUUAACAUGUCUUGCCUUCAUUCUAUAUCGACAACGAAGAUCCAAACAAAUGAAUGUUCAUGUCCCGGUAUUGCAAGAAAGCCUAUACCUCAGGCUUUCAUACCAAGAUCUUCUGCAAGCCACAAAUAAUUUUUCCCAAGACAAUUUGCUAGGUGCAGGAAGAUAUGGUUCGGUUUACAAAGGAGUUGUUGAAUCUUUAGAACACAGUGUUGCUGUGAAGGUACUCAACAUUGAAGUACGUGGUGCAGCGAAGAGUUUUUUGGCAGAGUGUGAAACACUGAGAAACAUUCGUCACCGGAAUCUCAUCAAGAUCAUCACAGCAUGCUCCAGCACUGAUUUUAAUGGCAAUGACUUCAAGGCACUGGUCUUUGAGUUCAUGACAAAUGGAAACUUAGACAACUGGUUACACCCAAGUCCUUCCGGCCAAGGGAAUGGUAGAAACUUGACUCUACUCCAGAGACUAAAUAUAUCCAUUGAUGUUGCACAGGGGGUGGAUUACUUGCACCACCACAGUCACUCAAGUAUCAUUCACUGCGACAUAAAGCCGAGUAAUAUUCU
rnacentral:lncRNA from 1 species